rnacentral:rRNA from 1 species
GAUGAACGCUGGGCGGCGUGCUUAACACAUGCAAGUCGAGCGAUGAAGUUUCCUUCGGGAAACGGAUCAGCGGCGGACGGGUGAGUAACACGUGGGUAACCUGCCUCAUAGAGUGGGAUAGCCUUCCGAAAGGAAGAUUAAUACCGCAUAAUGUUGAAAGAUGGCAUCAUCAUUUAACCAAAGGAGCAAUCCGCUAUGAGAUGGACCCGCGGCGCAUUAGCUAGUUGGUGGGGUAACUGCCUACCAAGGCGACGAUGCGUAGCCGACCUGAGAGGGUGAUCGGCCACAUUGGGACUGAGACACGGCCCAG